GUCUGGUGCUAUUAGGAAAGCUAAGCCCUCUCCAGGGACAGAAGAGUUAUCAACCCGAUAGACAUUGAUGAGGAAUGAAGUAUUGAAGGAAACCACCCUUGUAGCUCCUCCUUGUUGUUCCUCCCAAAGAGUGAAAGAUUGAUUGAAGAAUAUGCGGCCGGACCUGUGAUUGAGGGUGAAGUUACCGGCGGAAUCAGGAGUGACCUGAAGGGCGUUGUUGCUGAUUGUAGCAGGAGUUAGGACUGCGAAGGUGUUGUAGUAGGUACUGUUGAAUGGACCAAACUCAUAGUGUGAUGUUUCCAAGUUCUGAGCCAGGGAGGGGGAAGUUACUGCUAAAUUAAUGUAUAAAACAGUGAUGAUGGUGAGGACUCUUCUCAGAUCCAUAAAUUUUUCAGGUAAACAAUGCUAAAACUC
rnacentral:misc_RNA from 1 species